UUCCUGCAGGGAGUUAAAAACAGGAAAUAAAAAUAAGUAAGAUUUAAAAAAAUAAUAAUAAUAAUCCUAGCAGCCCUUAAGGGUUUGCAUCAUGGGGUGAACUAGCCAAGGUAUUGCUGGAGAGCUCACGUGGGUGGUGAGGAGGAGGAAAAGCUGGCAGGCUGACCAACCCAGGCCCAGAACCAGGGCUGGGAGUUGGCCCACCCCAGCAUCCACCUCAUCUAUGAACUGCUGGAGCAUGCGAAGGAGCUGGACCUGCAGAUUCAAAGCUACAGGAUCUCCAUGGCACACGGCAACAACAGGAUCUCCAAGAGGAGUCCCAGUGAGGGUCCAGGAUCAAGGGUGUAGCAGAAGCCAGAGGCCUCAAACCGGAGUCAUUGCAAGGAACACUUACAGGGCUUCCGACUCACUAGUCUGGAGCCAACAUCCAUCCGGCUCCUGACCUAGCGCCUGUCCUUCUCAAGUGUGGCACCCCGCUCUCUGGAGUAACUGGAUGCAGGGGCUCUGGGGUGGCUCUGGACAACCUGUGCCACGCUAAAGGAAACUGAUUUCGGAGCCUAAAUCCAGCCCACACCUCUUCCCUGGCCGGACAGAAGGAAGCUGGUAUCUCCACGAGGCCUCAGGCCACUCUCGCCAAGCAUAAUGCACAGUUUCACCAACUAGCUUCUUUUCCCUGUUCUCCUGUGGUUGCGGACUGGGUCAUAUCUAUGAAAAGGACAGCAGCAAGUCUCAGGUGGAUUGGCUCAGCUAGCUCUUCUCUAGUGGGCACAAAAACACUGGCUUCAGUCCUCAGCAUGCCACCCACGAUCCGAGGAGAGAUGGCACAUCCCUGUGAUCCCAGCUCUGAAGAAAUGGAAGCAAAAGGAUCAGAUCUUCAAGGGUUUGCACGACUCUAACUAAAGCAACCCCACCCCACACUGGUGUAACCAUCACCUGAAGAUUUGGUUUGCUUCAGACAGUGAGUACAUGACCUAUUCCAACCAAUGAUGUGGAGCAACGCAAUGAACGCAUUUAUCCAGCUGGAACAGAAGCUGCACGUCCUGAGCAGGUGGGCAAACCCACCGCACCUCCUGAAAGGAGUCUGGAUGGCACACUCUGCACGCGUUACUACUGACGGUGACGCCUGCCGCCAUUGUGAAG